GUAGAUCGCAAGAAUUUCCUCUACGUCGAGUAUUUGCUUCGCCGGGGUAAGAAACAACUUGAUCAGCUCAAGAUUCCUGAUACUGUUGGAUUAUCUUCUCUAAAGUUCAAUUUGUCUCAACCCCAAAAUCAUAAACCUUGAUCUUUUCAAUUUGGUCGAAGUGAUUGCCGAGUGUCGGUUUGAUUUUAUUUUUAAGUGAAUCUUAGAAAUUUUAUUAUAUCCAAGGAAUGUGUUUUAAUGUAAUUUUUUUUAUUAAAAAAUACAAGUCGGCUUAAGGGAGCUCCGUCGAA
rnacentral:misc_RNA from 1 species